rnacentral:lncRNA from 1 species
UUCUUUGUAAUCCUAUUUAUUUUAUGUUCUUAAAAAAGUUAUUUUUUUUUAUUUCAUUAAGACUUUAUUGCAGUGGAAAAUGGAGCAGCCCCUCAACUGGAGCCAUCCUUGUCAUGGCCUAGGAGGUGGGGGAGGGAGAGAUGCCAGUGAAGAUGUGUCUCUGGGGGAUACUCUGAUCCCUGAGGUUCAAGGUGUCCCAAGUUCUACACAUUAAGGUUAAGAAGAUUCAGAGUGAGGUUGUAAGCAUCAUGCCAGUGAAAUGCUUUGAAAGAGAAGAAAAAUAUAGGGGAAACAAGCACCUCAUGAUCACAGCACAUAUACGAGGAAGACAAUUUUGCUUUUGGCCAUUGAUGUGGAACUUCAGAACAUUCUGCAGGGCAGGGGACCAUCCCCUUCAGACAACAUUCUUGACCUUGAUUCUUUGUGAGAAAUAGUUCAAAUACUGAUCCGCCUCAGCAGAGACACUCCCUCCAUUUCCCUGGCCAUCCUUAGCUAAAAAGAUAUCAACAGCCGGCUAUUAACAUAACGGGACAAGGGAUGAGUCUGGACAUCAAUCAGACAAUAAUGCUGUCUGCAGCAAAGAGGAGCCCAUCGACCAGGGCGACAGCUACUGAAAACUAAUUAGCAAAGCCACAUUGCAAUGGAAUUUCGAAUUAAGCAAGGCAUGCAUUUACCUUCCACUGUGCUAAUUAGUGAACCUAUAUUUAAUAAUAAUUUUAUGACUGCUGAGCAAACAGACACAUAAUAAAGAUCUCCAUGUUCCCCCA